CGCAGGAAGGGACCGAGGAAGGACAUGCUACGGUAACUGUCUCCGGGGGCUGUGUCGUCCAGGGUCUACAAGGCAAUCAUUUUAUUAACAAAGGAUGUCAGAGGUGUUAUUUACUCUUCAAACCUUGUGACUUCUUUUUAUCUUGAUGAAAUGGCUAGGAUAUCUGGCUCAAGGAUGCCUGCGGACUGGAAAAUAGAGGACGUUCUUUCAACUCUGACCUCAAGGGGCCUGUGUCAAUGUUUCUGGAAGAAAAAGAUGGAGCACAGAGGACUACAGUCCCCAAAUCCCCUUCAAAGUCAUCCCAAGACCUGGAUACCUCCUACAUGGCCUCAUUUCUCACAAGCUCAGAUUCCUCCACCUCCCAGAACCACCACUCUGGAGCUCAUACUGGAAGAAGCUAUGGAGGACUCCAGAUCCGAGCAAUAUUAAACCAUCAAAUAUUCACCUGAACUUUCAUUCCUAAACGGGACCCAACUUGGGCAUGAUGAGUGGUCCAGGUUAUAGAGGGCUGCUUUCUACUGACUCAUAUUUUCUUUAAGGUUUUUGUACCUAUAUUUACAGGGAGAUUGUUCUGUGAUCAUAAGGUCUUUCUGGGAUUCAGGUAUGUUUAACCACAAAAUUUACUUAAGUGUGUCCUCGCCUAUUGUGUAAUUUUUCAAAUCUGUAUAAAUUAGAAAUAUUUAUGACUUUACUUUGUGGCAGAGUCUCCUAGUUAAACCACUAGGGCCAGAAUACUUUUGUGGAAAGUUCAAAGUUUGAGCAAAUUUUCUUUCCUAUUAGAAGGCUACGCAUAUCUUCUUUUAUUCUUGUUGAGUCAACUUCACUAAUCACAUGUUUUUCUAAAAAUUUUCUAUCCUACCUAAAAGUUAAAAUAUAUCAGUGUAAAGUUAUUCAUAUCUUGUUAUAAUUUCAAUACCUUUAGCUUGGUAAUUACAACUUCCUCUCUCU